rnacentral:rRNA from 1 species
UACGGAAGGCAGCAGUGGGGAAGUAUUGCACAAUGGGCGCAAGCCUGAUGCAGCCAUGCCGCGUGUAUGAAGAAGGCCUUCGGGUUGUAAAGUACUUUCAGUCGUGAGGAAGGUGUUAAGGUUAAUAACCUUAGCAAUUGACGUUAGCGACAGAAGAAGCACCGGCUAACUCCGUGCCAGCAGCCGCGGUAAUACGGAGGGUGCGAGCGUUAAUCGGAAUUACUGGGCGUAAAGGGCACGCAGGCGGUUAAUUAAGUUGGAUGUGAAAUCCCCGGGCUUAACCUGGGAAUGGCAUUCAAGACUGGUUAGCUAGAGUCUUGUAGAGGGGGUAGAAUUCCAUGUGUAGCGGUGAAAUGCGUAGAGAUGUGGAGGAAUACCGGUGGCGAAGGCGGCCCCUGGACAAAGCUGAUGCUCAUGUGCGAAAGCGUGGGGAGCAAAAC